rnacentral:rRNA from 1 species
CCUACGGGAGGCAGCAGUGGGGAAUAUUGCACAAUGGGCGAAAGCCUGAUGCAGCGACGCCGCGUGAGGGAUGACGGCCUUCGGGUUGUAAACCUCUUUCAGUAGGGAAGAAGCCCUCUUUGGGGGUGACGGUACUUGCAGAAGAAGCGCCGGCUAACUACGUGCCAACAGCCGCGGUAAUACGUAGGGGCGCA